GUGAUGUAGUGUCCCUUUGCCGACUCUGUGACGACGUACGCCACAGCCUGA
rnacentral:snoRNA from 1 species